rnacentral:rRNA from 1 species
UACGAAGGGUGCUAGCGUUGUUCGGAAUUACUGGGCGUAAAGCGCGCGUAGGCGGCUUAACAAGUCAGGGGUGAAAUGCCAGGGCUCAACCUUGGAACUGCCUUUGAUACUGGCAAUCUCGAGUCCGGGAGAGGUGAGUGGAACUGCGAGUGUAGAGGUGAAAUUCGUAGAUAUUCGCAAGAACACCAGUGGCGAAGGCGGCUCACUGGCCCGGUACUGACGCUGAGGUGCGAAAGCGUGGGGAGCAAACAGG